rnacentral:rRNA from 1 species
UACGGAGGGUGCAAGCGUUAUCCGGAUUCACUGGGUUUAAAGGGUGCGUAGGCGGGUCUGUAAGUCCGUGGUGAAAUCUGCGAGCUUAACUUGGAAACUGCCAUGGAUACUAUAGGUCUUGAAUAUUGUGGAGGUCAGCGGAAUAUGUCAUGUAGCGGUGAAAUGCUUAGAUAUGACAUAGAACACCAAUUGCGAAGGCAGCUGGCUAAGCAUAUAUUGACACUGAGGCACGAAAGCGUGGGGAUCAAACAGG